CUCCCUCCCCCUUUCGCUGCCGGUAGGCCCCACAUGUUGGAAGCUUCUUCAAGCUUCGGCAGGCGCCGCCGCUUGAGCUCCCCGCACAUGCGCCGCUCGGUUUCCCGUCACCCCGGCUUCUCGGCGCCCCUCCGGCUUCUCCCUGCGUCGCCGUUGCGUCUCCUCCGCUUCCCCUCCCGCGAAACGAACAGCCUUCCACCAAGCCGCCAUUAAUGACCGGCCGAAGCUCUUCACCUUCCACGAGCCGUCUCUGUUCCCUCCCUCACUCUAUAAAUCGGGCGCCCAGUGCCCCUGCUAGCCGCUGCUGCCCACCUCACCUCGCUCGCCUUUUCGCCACCGAGUGCUGCCAUCGCCACCACCGCCGCCGCUUGCGCCAAAUCGCCACCGCCGCUGUGUUUCCCCGCCGCUGACUCAUCUCCGGCCGCUUCCGCCCAAAGCCUCCGCCGAUCUAACCCUGAAGUUUCAGCAUUUCGCGGGCUCUUUUCACUGAAUCUUGUGCCGAUGUUUCCUUUGAUUAGAAGGAUCGUCGUCCGAAGCUUUGAAGGUUAAGAGUUUCAAGAAAGCAAGAUUUAAAAAGCAGUGAGAGUAACUUUACGUUGGAGAAAG